rnacentral:ncRNA from 1 species
UGAAGGCAUCGCGACUGGCGCUGGAGCGCCCGAUGGGCGCAGGUGGGGCACCACCGGGGAGCGAAUCUGCGGAGGCCGUGCGCCUGGGUCGCCGCC